CAGUAGCCGCGGGAAUACAGAGGGUGCGAGCGUUAAUCUGAUUUACUGGGCGUAAAGCGUGCGUAGGCGGCUUCUUAAGUCGGAUGUGAAAUCCCUGAGCUUAACUUAGGAAUUGCAUUCGAUACUGGGAAGCUAGAGUAUGGGAGAGGAUGGUAGAAUUCCAGGUGUAGCGGUGAAAUGCGUAGAGAUCUGGAGGAAUACCGAUGGCGAAGGCAGCCAUCUGGCCUAAUACUGACGCUGAGGUACGAAAGCAUGGGGAGCAAACAGGAUUAGAUACCCCAGUAGUCCCUGUCUCUUAUAC
rnacentral:rRNA from 1 species